GACGUAGGGGGCCAGCGUUGUCCGGAAUUAUUGGGCGUAAAGAGCUCGUAGGCGGUCUGUCGCGUCGGUCGUGAAAACUUGGGGCUUAACCCUGAGCUUGCGGUCGAUACGGGCAUGACUGGAGUUCGGCAGGGGAGACUGGAAUUCCUGGUGUAGCGGUGAAAUGCGCAGAUAUCAGGAGGAACACCGGUGGCGAAGGCGGGUCUCUGGGCCGAUACUGACGCUGAGGAGCGAAAGCGUGGGGAGCGAACAGG
rnacentral:rRNA from 1 species